CUUCCCAGAGAAAGUCUGAGGUUUGGAAGCUGCGGUAACGGCUGCUUGCAGAUGGAUGUGCCCCUGUUCAUGUCAUGCUCCGAUCUGCAGAAUGUGUCUGUGGCAGGUUACACAGGUGGAGUCCCCAAGGCCACCCUCACUCCUGACCAGCUGCACAUUUGGGGUACCCAACACCACCCUCAGGUUCAAGAAUUCGCUUGAAGGACUCACAGAACUCAGAAAAGGUCUUUGAAAGUAAAUUGGAGAAUCUGGAUGAAACAGGCAGUUUCCUAAGAAAAUACAGUUUACCAACACUAACCCUAGAAGAGAUGGAUUAUCUGUGCAGACCUGUCCUCAUCCAAGGAAUAGAGCAAGUUGACAAGAACCUGCCCACCCAGAACACCGCCAAACCCACGGGACUUCACAAGUAAUUCACCCAAAUCUGUGAAGUCUCAGGAAUUCUGGUUCCAUGAGGCUUAUCCGGUCCACGCCUCCCGUCCACACCCUUGGCAGUCCAGACAACCAUCCCACCAGCUGACACCAACGACGUCCACUGCUUGGCCUCCUUGCUCGCUGCUUUGUGUGAAGGGACAUCUGGAGACAUCUUUAUUUUCUUUCUUUUUUAU